ACUUGAGUUCCUGUGCCACUUUCAUUACUGUGCGACUUUGGGCAAAUUCCUUACGUUCUGAGCAUCUUGACAUCAGUCAGCUGACUGCCUUGGCUCUCCUCUCACACAUGCCAAGUAACCGCCAGUUAGAAUUUGACUUCCUCCUGGAAUCAUCUACCAGAGAAAAUGUGCUGAGCAGGGUGACGGGGCUACUCCACUCCACAGGAUGGUGUGGCUCUCUCUCCACCAUCCUGGGCCAAGCCACCAUCCCCUCCUGCCUGGAUGACAACAGCAGCUCUGGGACACCCCCUUGCAUCCAAGCUUGCCUCCUCCCCUUCACCAUUGCCCACGGAAAUGAAGCUGGAUUGGUCUUCCUAAAGCGAGAAUAAACUCAUCUGCCACAAACCCCUGAGGCCUCCAUUCUUCUCAGUGCAG
rnacentral:lncRNA from 1 species